UUGAUUGUAACUUAUAAAAAGAGUUUUACUGUUAAUAAAAAAGAAGGGGCUCCCCUAAUCAAA
rnacentral:tRNA from 1 species